rnacentral:rRNA from 1 species
UACGUAGGGAGCAAGCGUUGUUCGGAUUUACUGGGCGUAAAGGGCGCGUAGGCGGCGUGUUAAGUCAGCUGUGAAAUCUCCAAGCUCAACUUGGAACGGCCAGCUGAUACUGAUGUGCUAGAGUGCAGAAGGGGCAAUCGGAAUUCUUGGUGUAGCGGUGAAAUGCGUAGAUAUCAAGAGGAACACCUGAGGUGAAGACGGGUUGCUGGGCUGACACUGACGCUGAGGCGCGAAAGCCAGGGGGAGCAAACGGGG